GCAGAUAUGUUGAUAAAAUUCACUGUAAAAAGUUUCUGUAAAUUUACACCCAGAUUCCAACAUUAUUCACCUGUUUCCUUCAAUAAACAGGACUUUCCAGUCAUUAGUAAGACAAAUGUGUAAAAUCAGGCUCCAACACUGUUAUUUACCACGCCCGUAAUGUUUAUUCUGGAACACACGUACUUCCCGUUAUCUAUUAACGUUACCUUCGAGCUGGUGAUGGGAAGCUGUCUGAUGAGAGAAGACGAUACGUUGGAAUCAUACCCAAACCCAUCAACACAAUAAGGGAUGUGCGACUGUAGCUGAUGUUGAGUCUUCCAAGCCUACCUGUGACGCCUCGCCUGAUAUUACUAGGUGAACGACAAGGUAAUCAUCAAAAGUGGAUGGUCAGCAUUGAAUCCUUAAUCGUUUGUGAAGGGUCCAACCUCGCCACAUUUCUAACAGGGAUUGCGACAUGUUUCUCCACCUUCUAUAUUCUGAAUCUGCAAUAUCAGGAGGAGGCAGCGUGCACCCUUGAAUUCUUCCAGAGAAAAAGGCCCAGAAGAAGCCUAAGAACAAUCACUAAUAAGUAAAGUGAAUGUUACUUGAUUUCUCAUGAAUGUUACUUGAUUCCCUCCCUGAUUAUCAUUUAUACUCAUCUCUUACUUUAAAUUCUUCUGGACAUAAUCUGUCAGUUUAUUCAUUCUCACAUGUACACAAGGCCAAUGCGAUGCAAUGAUAUUGAUAAUUGAUAAAUAUCUGUGAUGAUUAUUCUGUAUCUUAUUUGAUUUUGAAAUAGUACUACUUUAGAUAACAUGUCUACAUUUUACAUACAUAUGUGAUACACAAGCCUAAUGCGAUGUUUUUAUUUUCCAUGAUAAUUCUUUUGUACCUUAUUUCCGAUUUUUGAAAUACAACUAGAUCACGUGUCUACAUUUUACAUUCAUACGUGAUACACGAGCCUAAUGCGAUGUUUUUGUUUUUCAUGUUAAUUCUUCUGUACCUUAUUCCUUGUUUUUUGAAAUACGAUUUUCAAAAUACUACUAGAUAGCGUGUCUACAUUUUAAACGGGCCUAAUGCAAUGUAUCUGUUUUCCAUUGUAAUUCCUCUGUAUCCUAUUACCUGUUCUUUGAAAUCCGAUUUUCAAAAUACUACUAUGUAUCUACAUUUUACAUUCAUACAUGAUACACGAGCCUAAUGCGAUGUUUUUAUUUUCCAUGAUAAUUCUUCUGUGUCUUAUUCCCUGAUCCUGAAAUACGAUUAUAGUCAGUCUACAUGUUCCUGAAUUACUAUUUACUAUUAUCUUGCUUCAUGUCCCUUCAUCUUUCAAAGAUUACUUUACUGUUAGACUGUCAAGUAAGUGCUGUGAAAUAAAAUAUCUGUUAAACUACAAAUAAGUAACUGAUGUGAAAAAAUUGAUUUUUAUCUUUAAAAUGUUGAUUUGAGAGUGGAUGAACUCAAUAUAUGGAACUUGUUUCCUGUAAUUGUAAAAAAUUAAAGACCUGUUGUGUAACUAA